GAAAAGAUGAGAUAUAUAAAGGGUUGGCUUACACUCGCCACAAGUUACAUCAGCGUCACAUCAGUACAUUACAUAAUCAUCAAGAGUAAGAGCAGGGUCCGACUACGGACGAAAACAAACGACAAAAGAAGAACGACGUCCAUCCUUGCUAUCCCAGGCUGCCGGCCUGGAACCCAUCCUAGAUCGAUGAAGAAGAAGAAGAAGCAACUUCAAAUGAACAAUCAACGCGCUCACGUCGAGUAACCUUUACCUGCACCUGCAACUGGUGUUGUAGUAAUCUGUGAGCCACGGGGGACUCAGCAAUCUCAUUUCCAAAGGUAUCAAGACUAGCAAAGCUUAAUGGGAGAGGUAUGGUUAAGUGGUGAGGUUGCAGCAGCGACUAAGCAUAUAUUUGGUGGCUAACUUACGAGUACAAGAAAUAAGAGGGGGGAGAUCUACGCAUAACGGACGUCACUACAGAUGAUCAAAAGAAUGAUCCUGAACACCUACCUACGUCAGACAUAACCCCACCGUGUCCUCGAUCGGAGAAGGAACUCACGAAAGAGACAGUCACGGUUACGCACACAGUUGGCAUGUUUUAAUUAAGUUUACUUCAAGUUAUCUAGAACCAGUGUUAAACAAAGCUUCCACGUUGCCACAUAACCGCGGGCACGGCUUUCCGAAAGAUUUAACCCUGCAGGGGUGCUCCAACUAGUCCAUCACAAAUUACCACAAGCCGCAUAGAAAUCCUCAAUCACGAAGCUCACGAUCUCGUCGGAUUCCCUAGUGGAAAACCUCAACUCUGAGAUUACCCAAAGAAUCACCGGAAUCCCGAUGCACAAGAUAUCUCGUCAAAGGUAAAACUAAUCCAGCAAGGCCGCCCGACGUGUCGACGAUCCCGAUAGGAGUCGCGUACCUCGUUCUCAGGACACGGCGGAUGAGCUAGACGUCGGGAUCGCUAAACCUCCGGGUGACCAGAGGGGCGCCGGACAUCGCUCAGGUGGGACCAACACUCAUGAGGAGCACUGGCCCGGGGGUUGAUUAAAUUAUCCUCGGGGUCCGGAAAGUCCCUAUGCAAUUUUAUUAGGUGUUUAGGCAAAUGUAGUACCAAAGUUGGGCCCUGCCAGACCAGCUUUAAUCUAAAACGAAUUAUCAAGGAGGUCCCCAUAACAACCCCGAUCGUGUUAGGAGCGCUCAUUUAUGGAACAUAACACCGGUAGCCGAAACUAAGGGGGCAAAGGUGAAACAAAACACCAGGCUAGAAAGGCCGAGCCUUCCACCUUUUACCAGGUAUAUAGGUGCAUUAAAAUAGAAAGCAUAAAAUAUGGUGAUAUAACAAGGAACCCAUGCUUUGCAUGGAAGCAAUGCACCUGCAACUAUCAACGCUAUCAACAGGGUUAAGCAAGCAGUAACAUAGCCAAUCAGUGGUUUGCUAGGGUGAACAGGUUGAUGGUUUCAUGGCAUUGUAGAGAGGCUGAUAUUUAACAGGUGGUAGGCAACGAGACGUAAACGAUAGCAACGGUAAAACUAGCAUGGCAAUGAUAGUAAUGGUAUCUGGGGAAAUGAUCAUCUUGCCUGAGACCCCGCUUGGAAGAAGAACAACUCCGUGAAGCAGACGAACCGACGUAGUCGAACGGGUCCUCACAUCCGACACGCUUGCGGACUCUAUCGAGACGGGGAAAACCGGAAACAAGAAUCAACACACGAUAUUCACCACACGAUGCACAACACAUAUGAUGCAUGAGCUACUGGAUACAUGCAAGUCACGGCAUGACAAAUCACACAAUCACACCUACACAUUAAGUGAAGUUCAAUAUGCACGAGUUGCAUAUUGACGAAACUCCAUGUUAAAUAUUUAGUUCACUCCCGGUUAUUUACACGGCAAUUUUAAUGUUGUCAAACAUGCAAGAGGUGAAGCGAAAAAUAAACUACCUAUCUAGGCAUUUUAAAUGAGGCCGGAAAUGACAUAUAGCAUCUCCGAAAUGACCCCACGUGUUAAAUCUUAAUUCCGUCCAGAUUUGUCCUAAUCAUAUUUUAUGUUUGUUAAACGAAGAAACAAAGUGGAACACGUGAUUCUACUCGUCGUUCUGGUCCAUUUACAUAUAUGGCACAACUCCAACGGAGUUAUGGACAAAUAGUUACGACCUAAACCGUUUUCAACACGUCGACAUGCAAAUCGAAGCAAACAGCACACCUAACAAAUUUAAAUAUGCAUGAGAGUUGGUUUUUGUGAAACAACAGAAAAUUCUAAGCAACUUACAUGUUAAAAUCAUUUUAAUCCGGUGCACGAUUAAAUUUAUACGAAUUUUACAAAAGGGCAUUUGAAUCUGUCCAAAAUAUAUAAAAAAAUUGGAAUUGCUAGGAUUUGAACCCCAGAUCCCUUGGAUGGACACUAAUAGCCCUACCACCAGACUAAUUAAGUGGUUGUGUCAAAAUUGACAAAACAGCACAUCAAAAAGGUAUGACAGAAGCUGUUGCGCUGGAGGCAAAAUUCCUAACAAAAAAUAUAAUAUGCACUGAUGGGGAUUUGAUCCCAGGAUCACAGGGCAAAACUCGCUGGUGCUGACCACUCCGCUAUAGCAUACGAUUCGUACUGGAAACAAAAUGGCUGCUCUAAAUAGCGUGGCUAUUCCUCCUGACGGAUCUAGAAAAGAAAAUGGGAUCAGAUCGGAAGGAACUGCUCACAGCGGGGAAAGGAGACGCCAUGGCGGCUAGGCAGGCUAGGUCGCCGGCGGACGCAGGUCCAGGCAAGGGCGGCGGCGUGCUCCGAUGCAGGAGGUGUGGCAGGUCAACGCGGGCGGCCUCCUGCUCGCUUGAAGCAGAGGCGGGCGCUGGCUCUCCCGUUUCUCUGACGAACAGAGGCAAGAACAGGGGAGCAUCCCUGUGGCAACUUGGAUGGGCAUGGAGGCGAGCUCGAGUCAGAUCCGGAGGGUUUUGGCGUCACCGUUCCAUUCCCGGUGACGGCGGCGUCUGGCACCACGAGGCCGGCCGACGGGGAGCUUCUUGGGGAGGCGACCAUGGUUCUUCUCUGAAAAAAAGAGAUGGGAAGAACUGAGCAACAGAGAGAGGAAGGAGGAAGGAAGAGACGGAGGAACGGGGCACCUGCACUAUGCUCAGGCCGUGCUGCCGCUACAGGCGCUGGAGACGUCGAGGCGCACCAGGCGCGCCGCAGUGUCCAUGUGCACCUGGGCCGGUGCAGGGGCCGAGGCGGUGGCACGAACAACUCCAAAUCCAACGGGAUCGGCUGCUCGCGACGAGAGAAAGAGGCUGGUGCUGGCUUCCUUCAAGCGUGGCCAUGGAGCGAUGCUCCGGUGACGGACGCUGGCAUCUGCCGGCUCCUGGACGCGUCCAACAUGCAGAGUAGAAGGUGGCUCGGGGCAUGCUUCUUGCUCGUUGGGCAGGGGAACGAGAUCCCGAGGAAACAGGAGGAGUGGCGGCGGCGGCGGAUGGAAUUAGGGUAGGAUGGGACAGAUCCUAGGGUUUGAUAUGAU
rnacentral:lncRNA from 1 species